rfam:Phycisphaerae bacterium SM-Chi-D1, complete genome.
CAUAGGGCGUUGCCCUAUGCUAUGAUAUUUCGCACCGUUGGUGCU